rnacentral:rRNA from 1 species
AUGAAUGGAUUCAGAUAUCGUGUUCAAAGUCGAGAUAGACACCUCUGCACACAGAACAGUGGGGUGGUUGUACUUUCAGAACAAGGGGAUAAUGGUAAUAUAGUAGAAUAUUAUGGCAUAUUGACAGAGAUAGUCGAACUGCAAUACUUAGGUGGAAGGCAUGUGACAUUAUUCCGUUGCAACUGGAUUGUCGUAUUUGACAAAGAGCAUGGGAUGAAGAAACACAACAAGCAUGGAAUCGUUAGUCUUAACCUGCAGCGUUUGCUUCUGACAGAUGAGCCUUUCGUUCUAGCUAGCCAAGUCUCUCAAGUAUUUUUUGUCAAGGACAAUCUUAUAAAAGGAUGGCACGCAGUCGUGAAAAAUCCAUCACGUCAUGCUUAUAGUGUACCACAUGGACAGUCUGAUGAUGAAGCCUCUGAAGCUAAACCUGACAAUGGCGAUGAAGACGACUUGCUUCAAAAUUCGACAUCAACAUCACGUAGAAAGAGAACAACAUGA